ACCCAUAUGGAAAAGAAACAGAAAAAACUUAUUGCUCACCAGCAGUAUUUCCACUGGAAAGACUGCAGUGAGCAGAUGUCUCACAAAGACUGUUGCCGAAUUGGCAUUGAUGGCAUAGGCCCACGCCAGUUUCUCAACCAUGACUCCGAUCCCAGGAUGGAUCUCAACCUGGACACAAGAAGACUGGGAGGCAGUCAGGGAUGGAGACACAGAUGUGGAACUGGACAGCGUAGAUCUGGGGAGGGACAGCGAAGUGGCACAUGGAGAACUGGACCUGGACUGCGGAGACCCUGGAAGGGCCGGUAAUGCUUUGGUCCUUGAUCUCCUGCUUUAAUUCAGCCACAGUCUGAGUCGGACUGUUGUGAUUAUCUGAAGAAGGCUGUGAUUGACCGUAUAGCCUAAGAAACUCUUCUGCAGGGUCUAUCCUCCUGGGAGCCUUUGACUUCUGGGUGUCAAGAGAUAGGAAAAAAAACAAAACCAAAAUAAAAAGACAGCUAUUGCUGGUGUUGAGCAGCUAUUAUGUACAAGAGAAUCAAUAUCAAGAAUCCUUACAGAUUUAGCUAGAUAGUAAUGCCUAUUACACAAUAGUGCCAACUCCUUACACAUUCUAUGUACAUUGUACCACUGGGAAAUAUGGUCAUUGCAUAGGAGCUAAAAGUAAAUUAACGUCACCUUUGCUUGCUGAGACUGAGUUUCAAUAUCAGUUUAGCAAUCUGAAUCGUCCCCAUAUUUUUGGGGGGCCACUGAGGCCCUCUUUGUCAGCUCUGUAGGUUCUUCUUCCUUCAGCAGUGAGUUCAGUUUACGGAUUGUCUCAAAACGAGUAGCUAGAAAACAAAAGCAAAUAGACCAGAGUUAUACUCAAACAGCUGAUUACACCAGAUCACCCUCUUGUAACACUAAGACUGAAAAUAUACGUGAAGUUAGUGAUGUGUUGUGUGCUCCAAAAUAAGUGCAAGCACUGCAUGCAUGCUCUGUAUGCAUUGCUCAUAUACUUGUAUACUUGCAUACCCUAUGUAUACUCUACGCAAAUAUUCAGGGGGUUAUGCAUAAGGUAUACAUGACACCUGGCAUAAACAACUAUUCAAAAAGCUUUAUUCAACCUGGUUUCAACUGUCAAAGUAUUAUUAUCUCAUCUCAUUUUUAACAUAGUUACAUUUUUAGUUCAUUUUUGACAUAGUUGUCAGAUGACAUACUGAUUGUGGCACUUACAGUGUCAAAACCACAUAGUACUUGUGUUUGUGUGAA
ensembl:lncRNA